rnacentral:rRNA from 1 species
AGAGUUUGAUCCUGGCUCAGGAUUAACGCUGGCGGUGUGCAUAACACAUGCAAGUCGAGCGCCCAGCACUCUGUUCACAAAUUUUUACUGUGUCAGAAUGGAAAAAAUCAUUCGCUGUAUUGCGUAUACAGCUCAUUGGAUUUUUCCCAUCCUUCCUUGUAAAAGAUUUGCGACCAGGGUGCUGGGAGCGGCAGACGGGUGAGUAACACGUUGGAAUCUGCCUUAGAGUCAGGGAUAAGCCUUAGAAAUAGGGUCUAAUACCGGAUGGUCCCGAAAGGGUAAAGUAGCAAUACACUCUAAGAGGAGCCUGCGGUCUAUCAGCUUGUUGGUAAGGUAAUGGCUUACCAAGGCUAUGACGGAUAGCUGGUCUGAGAGGAUGAUCAGUCACAAUGGAACUGAGACACGGUCCGUACUCCUACGGGAGGCAGCAGUGAGGAAUCUUCCGCAAUGGGCGCAAGCCUGACGGAGCAACACCGCGUGAAGGAUGACAGUCGUAAGAUUGUAAAUUUCUUUUCUGAAGGAAGAAUUCUGACGGUACUUCAGGAAUAAGCAUCGGCUAACUACGUGCCAGCAGCCGCGGUAAGACGUAGAAUGCAAGCGUUAUCCGGAAUUAUUGGGCGUAAAGAGUUCGUAGGCGGUUAGUUAAGUUGGAUGUUAAAGUUUUGAGCUCAACUCAGAAAAUGUAUCCAAAACUGGCAAACUAGAGACAGGUAGAGGCAAGUGGAAUUCUGCAUGUAGGAGUAAUAUCCGUAGAUAUGCAGAGGAACACCAAAAGCGAAGGCAGCUUGCUGGACCUGUUCUGACGCUCAAGAACGAAAGCGUGGGUAGCGAACGGGAUUAGAUACCCCGGUAGUCCACGCCCUAAACUAUGAACACUAGGUGUUGGUGGCUUCGACCCCUCCAGUGCCGACGCUAACGCAUUAAGUGUUCCGCCUGGGUAGUACGAGCGCAAGCUUAAAACUCAAAGGAAUAGACGGGGACCCACACAAGCGGUGGAGCAUCUGGUUUAAUUCGACAAUAAGCGAGGAACCUUACCUAGACUUGACAUCCCGGGAAGAUCGCCGAAAGGUGAUUGUGCCGUUAGGAACCCGGUGACAGGUGCUGCAUGGUUGUCGUCAGCUCGUGCCUUGAGGUGUUCGGUUAAGUCCGUGAACGAGCGCAACCCUUGUCUCAAGUUGUAUAUUUCUUGAGAGACUGCCGGUUCUAAAUCGGAGGAAGGCAAGGACGACGUCAAAUCAGCAUGGCCCUUAUGUCUAGGGCGACACAGGUGCUACAAUGGCCGGUACAAUGGGCUGCUAAGGAGUAAUCUGGAGCUAAUCCCAAAAACCGGUCCAAGUUCGGAUUGAGGGCUGCAACUCGCCCUCAUGAAGUUGGAAUCGCUAGUAAACGCGUAUCAGCCAUGGCGCGUUGAAUAUGUUCCUGGGUCUUGUACUCACCGCCCGUCAAGUCACGAAAGAUGGGGGUGCCCGAAGUUCCCUUAGCUAAUUGAGCGGGGGCCUAAGGCAAAACCAUUGAUUGGGACUAAGUCGUAACAAGGUAUCCGUAGGAGAACCUGCGGCUGGAUCACCUCCUU